rnacentral:rRNA from 1 species
GGGAUUGCUCAGUAACGGCGAGUGAAGCGGCAACAGCUCAAAUUUGAAAUCUGGUCCCCUCUGGGGGCCCGAGUUGUAAUUUGAAGAGGAUGCUUUUGGCGAGGCGCCUUCCGAGUGCCCUGGAACGGGACGCCACAGAGGGUGAGAGCCCCGUAUGGUAGGACGCCGAGCCUCUGUAAAGCUCCUUCGACGAGUCGAGUAGUUUGGGAAUGCUGCUCAAAAUGGGAGGUAAACCCCUUCUAAAGCUAAAUAUUGGCCAGAGACCGAUAGCGCACAAGUAGAGUGAUCGAAAGAUGAAAAGCACUUUGAAAAGAGAGUUAAACAGCACGUGAAAUUGUUGAAAGGGAAGCGCUUGCGACCAGACUUGCGCCCGUCGGAUCAACCGUCCCUCGUGGGCGGCGCACUCCGGCGGGCUCAGGCCAGCAUCAGUUUUCCCGGGGGGAGAAAGGCGGUGGGAAUGUGGCUCUUCGGAGUGUUAUAGCCCGCCGCGUAAUGCCCUCGGGGGGACUGAGGACCGCGCGUAUGCAAGGAUGCUGGCGUAAUGGUCGUCAGCGACCCGUCUUGAAACACGGACCAAGGAGUCGUCCUAAUAUGCGAGUGUACGGGUGUAAAACCCCUGCGCGUAAUGAAAGUGAACGGAGGUGAGAGCUUCGGCGCAUCAUCGACCGAUCCUGAUGUUCUCGGAUGGAUUUGAGUAAGAGCAUAUUGGGCCGGACCCGAAAGAAGGUGAACUAUGCCUGUAUAGGGUGAAGCCAGAGGAAACUCUGGUGGAGGCUCGCAGCGGUUCUGACGUGCAAAUCGAUCG